rnacentral:rRNA from 1 species
UACGUAGGGUGCGAGCGUUGUCCGGAAUUACUGGGCGUAAAGAGCUCGUAGGUGGCUUGUCGCGUUGUUCGUGAAAACUCACAGCUCAACUGUGGGCGUGCGGGCGAUACGGGGCAGACUGGAGUACUGCAGGGGAGACUGGAAUUCCUGGUGUAGCGGUGGAAUGCGCAGAUAUCAGGAGGAACACCGGUGGCGAAGGCGGGUCUCUGGGCAGUAACUGACGCUGAGGAGCGAAAGCGUGGGGAGCGAACAGG